UGCCGUGGGUGUAGGAGACUUGAGAAGACUUGCCCCUAGUACGAGAGGACCGGGGUGAACGCUCCACUGGUGGACCAGUUGUCGUGCCAACGGCAGUGCUGGGUAGCUAUGAGCGGACAGGAUAACCGCUGAAGGCAUCUAAGCGGGAAGCCCCCUUCAAAACUAGGUCUCCCUUGAGGGCCGUGGAAGACCACCACGUCGAUAGGCCGGAGAUGUACGCGCAGCAAUGCGUUCAGUUGACCGGUACUAAUUGCCCGAUUGGCUUGAUUUG
rnacentral:rRNA from 1 species